UUCCGGUUGAUCCCGCCGGAGGCCACUGCUAUUGGGAUUCGAUUAAGCCAUGCGAGUCGAGAGGGUUCGGCCCUCGGCAGACUGCUCAGUAACACGUGGAUAACCUACCCUUAGGUGGAGGAUAAUCUCGGGAAACUGAAAAUAAUACUCCAUAGAUCUAGGCUGCUGGAAUGCAUCUAGAUCAAAAGCUCCGGCGCCUAAGGAUGGGUCUGCGGACUAUCACGUUGUAGUCAGGGUAAAGACCUGACUAGCCUACGACAGAUAUGGGUUGUGAGAGCAAUAGCCCAGAGACGAUAUCUGAGACACGAUAUCGGGCCCUACGGGGCGCAGCAGGCGCGAAAUCUUCACAAUGUGCGAAAGCACGAUGAGGGAAUCCCAAGUGCUUGCACGUAAGUGUAAGCUGUUUCUUAGUCUAAAAAACUCAAAAAGUAAGGGCUGGGUAAGACGGGUGCCAGCCGCCGCGGUAAUACCUGCAGCUCAAGUGGUGGCCGCUAUUAUUGGGCCUAAAACGUCCGUAGCCUGUUUAGUAAAUGCUUGGGUAAAUUGUGUAGCUUAACUAUACGAAUACCGGGUAGACUGCUAAACUUGGGACCGGGAGAGGCUAGAGGUACUCCUGGGGUAGAGGUGAAAUUCUGUAAUCCUAGGGGGGACCACCAGUGGCGAAGGCGUCGAGCUAGAACGGGUCUGACGGUGAGGGACGAAGCCCUGGGGCGCGAACCGGAUUAGAUACCCGGGUAGUCCAGGGUGUAAACGCUGCUUGCUUGAUGUAGUUGGGCUCCGAGCCCAACUAGUGUCAGACAGAAGUUGUUAGCAAGCUGCCUGGGAAGUACGGUCGCAAGACUGAAACUUAAAGGAAUUGACGGGGGAACCCGCAACCGGGCGGAAUCGUGCGGUUUAAUUGCAGUCAACUCCGGAA
rnacentral:rRNA from 1 species